CACAUGUGAUAUGAAGUUGUAAAGUUGAGAAUAGCUUGAAGUUGUAUUCGACCUGGGGCCCUUCCAAGUUCCAAAGAAAAGCCUCGACAUUCCAUCAGAAUUUUAGGUGAAAGAACUUCGGAUUAUAUUAAGUCAAGAUACCAAUUUUUCCAUUACAUUGAAGGAUCCUGAAUUUACAUUAGAGAUGUGAGCCAAAACAGAUGGCAAACGCGGGGGGUGAGAGCUAGACAAGAGCACCACCUUUAAGAUAUUCAGUGAAGGCGAGUGCAACCAGACCCAACAUGGCAAACCUCCCAUUCCACAUCUCCGCAUCAGAAGUCAUCAACCCCUUCGAUUUGGACUCCACGCUCACACCUUUGAACAAGGGAAUCAGAGAAGCCAGUGAGAGUACAACAGCGGUUCCCAGGAACCAUGGAAUCCCACCGUUGGAUAUCUGAGCAAACACAUCCUCACCCUUCCAUAUUUCCGCACCCAUUGCCGCAACAAAGCCUACCAUGGCAAGCCUGCCGUUGAUCCUCUCCGGUGCCGGCCCACUAAAUGCGAACACAUCCCCAAAUUUAGUGCUCACCUGCCACAAAAUUCAAAAACAUAUAUAUAUUCUCAUGUUAUAAACCCCACCGGAAAAGUGACCAUGGAAAGAAGUUACCCGCGGACUUUACAUACCUUAGGCGCAGGAGGAGGAGGAGGAGGAGGGAUCGGUUGACGUGACUGUGAGAGUGAGGGUGGCUGCUGGGGGUUGGUGGUGACAGGAGGUGGCCGUUCGAUUUGGCCAUCCUGCACAAUGGUUACGAGAUCAGUUGUCAAAAUCCCAUAAAUCGGCUGACAUUAUCUGCUAUGAUCUGAGUGGAGGUUGAGAUCUUACCUCCUUGGUGCACCGCACCUGCACAGCACUCCUUUGAAGACGUAGCACCGACCUGGGAGGGACGACCUGGAGAUCUCUGGUUCUGUUGGCUACGCGUGUCAUAGCUGUUGCAAGGGUGGAUUGCAUGGUGGUUGCCAUGGCCAUCAGCGUCGACUCCGAAAUUCUUAGCGAGUCGUGCAAGGGCUUCCAAUGGCGCUAUGAUGCUAUGGCGAUGCUACUGUGUACUUCUGAGUGUGGGUAUGAAGAUUGGAGCCUGGCAGCAUUAUUUAUAACGUGGGAGGGUAAAGGCUAAAGCGAGGUGUGG
rnacentral:lncRNA from 1 species